rnacentral:rRNA from 1 species
UACGGAGGAUGCGAGCGUUAUCCGGAUUUAUUGGGUUUAAAGGGUGCGUAGGCGGACUGUCAAGUCAGCGGUAAAAUUGAGAGGCUCAACCUCUUCCCGCCGUUGAAACUGGUGGUCUUGAGUGGAUGAGAAGUACGCGGAAUGCGUGGUGUAGCGGUGAAAUGCAUAGAUAUUAGGAGGAACACCAGUGGCGAAGGCGGCUUACUGGACUGUAACUGACGUUGAGGCUCGAAAGCGUGGGGAGCAAACAGG